rnacentral:rRNA from 1 species
AUUGAACGCUGGCGGCAGGCCCAACACAUGCACGUCGAGCGGAUGAAGGGAGCUUGCUCCUGGAUUCAGCGGCGGACGGGUGAGUAAUGCCUAGGAAUCUGCCUGGUAGUGGGGGAUAACGUCCGGAAACGGGCGCUAAUACCGCAUACGUCCUGAGGGAGAAAGUGGGGGAUCUUCGGACCUCACGCUAUCAGAUGAGCCUAGGUCGGAUUAGCUAGUUGGUGGGGUAAAGGCCUACCAAGGCGACGAUCCGUAACUGGUCUGAGAGGAUGAUCAGUCACACUGGAACUGAGACACGGUCCAGACUCCUACGGGAGGCAGCAGUGGGGAAUAUUGGACAAUGGGCGAAAGCCUGAUCCAGCCAUGCCGCGUGUGUGAAGAAGGUCUUCGGAUUGUAAAGCACUUUAAGUUGGGAGGAAGGGCAGUAAGUUAAUACCUUGCUGUUUUGACGUUACCAACAGAAUAAGCACCGGCUAACUUCGUG